rnacentral:rRNA from 1 species
CUUGCUCCCAUAUAUGAGGUCCAGCCUGCCCAGUGACAUUGUUCAACGGCCGCGGUAUCCUAACCGUGCGAAGGUAGCGUAAUCACUUGUUCUUUAAAUAAGGACUAGUAUGAAAGGCGCCACGAGAGUCAUACUGUCUCCUUUCUCUAAUCAGUGAAACUGAUCUCCCCGUGAAGAAGCGGGGAUAAAAAUAUAAGACGAGAAGACCCUAUGGAGCUUAAAACAAAUAACACUUGCCCCCCAACUUCUAAUUUCAGAAAAAUUUUCUACCCGAGCAUUAUGGUUAUUAGUUUUCGGUUGGGGUGACCGCGGAGUAAAAAGCAACCCCCGCAAUGAAAGACACUCAUCCACUUAGUUAAGGGCUACAACCCUACACAUCAACAAAUUGACACUAAUUGACCCAACAUGUUGAUCAAUGAAC